rnacentral:tRNA from 3 species
CAAAUUAGGUCUAUAGGGACAUUAUUAUUUACAUUAAUAACUGGAGUGUGCAAUUCAUUCUGAUUUGA